AAAAAUUAUGUCUCCUCCAAAGAGAAAAGUUUGGAUAUAUUUAAAAAAAGUUGACGCUGUUCUUGCAUUAUGCAAGCAUUGUUCUCAAGAAGUACUCUAUUGUGGCAAUACUUCAAAUUUAUCCAAACAUUUAAAAAAACAUUCAAAUUUGACUAAUACUAAAUCAUCCAUAGUCAAACAGUCAAAAUUGACUAUCACUCAAAAUUCUGUAUCGCCAUUGCCUACAUUGCCAGAACGUUACUCAUCAAAAACUCAGUCGCGACAACUAACGCUUUGUAUGGAAGACUCUGAGCAGAGGAAUGUGUAGACGAUCCACCACAGGCUUUACAACGGCUAAAACAUCCUAUUGUUGAAGCUUUUCAAAAAAUUAGUUCAUAUGCAGU